GUGGAGCUAAUUCACUGAGUUGUAGUAAAUCACAUAAACUUUCCACAGCAUCCAAAACAAUGGUGCUUUGGUCCAUGCCAUCAAGAAGUCUCAGAUCAAAAUGCCAUUGAACGUGGGCAUGAAUAGGGCCUGUGAUGGACCAGGGCUUUGUCAAAGCUGCCAGGUUAGGCUCUGACCUUGUGUGGCCCUGAUUUAGGUUUGGAGGUUGGAAACGUUUAUGUAGUGCUAGCGUACUUUGUCAGGUGUCUUUGGUAACUGCAAGAGGAGGUGAACCAGGGGAACACUAGAGGCUCAUCUGGCCACAGCUACAGGGGACAUUAAAUGAGCCACCAUAAUAAGCACCUUCUAAACCUACUGUGUCUUCCAAAUUCUAACCCACAUUGUUCAAUUCUGCAUGAAAAUACUGCAUAACAUCCCUUUAAGACAAACAUUGUUACAAAAUAUUAUAAAUUUGAAUCGAUAAUCACGUAACAGCCACUUGUCACAUUAGCAUAUUUGAAAACAGCUCCUCACACAGUGACAUUCGGCAUCAAUCUUUUAAUUUCAACAGCAUGGUAUCAAAAUAACACUCAUUGUGGUGUUUGCUUUACAGAAGGAUAACACAAAACAUCACAUUUUUCCUUUUUUGUUUUUUUUUGUU